rnacentral:rRNA from 1 species
UACAGAGGGUGCGAGCGUUACUCGGAAUUACUGGGCGUAAAGCGCACGUAGGUGGCUUAGUAAGUCGGAUGUGAAAUCCCCAGGCUUAACCUGGGAACUGCAUUCGAAACUGCUUUGCUAGAGUAUGGGAGAGGGCAGUGGAAUUUCAGGUGUAGCGGUGAAAUGCGUAGAUAUUCGGAAGAACACCAGUGGCGAAGGCGGCUCACUGGACCGGCAUUGACGCUGAGGUGCGAAAGCGUGGGGAGCAAACAGG